GAUGAACGCUGGCGGCGUGCCUAAUACAUGCAAGUCGAGCGAACGGACGAGAAGCUUGCUCCUCUGAUGUUAGCGGCGGACGGGUGAGUAACACGUGGAUAACCUACCUAUAAGACUGGGAUAACUUCGGGAAACCGGAGCUAAUACCGGAUGAUAUUUUGAACCGCAUGGUUCAACAGUGAAAGACGGUCUUGCUGUCACUUAUAGAUGGAUCCGCGCUGCAUUAGCUAGUUGGUAAGGUAACGGCUUACCAAGGCAACGAUGCAUAGCCGACCUGAGAGGGUGAUCGGCCACACUGGAACUGAGACACGGUCCAGACUCCUACGGGAGGCAGCAGUAGGGAAUCUUCCGCAAUGGGCGAAAGCCUGACGGAGCAACGCCGCGUGAGUGAUGAAGGUCUUCGGAUCGUAAAACUCUGUUAUUAGGGAAGAACAUAUGUGUAAGUAACUGUGCACAUCUUGACGGUACCUAAUCAGAAAGCCACGGCUAACUACGUG
rnacentral:rRNA from 1 species